rnacentral:tRNA from 1 species
GCUUCUAUGGUUUAGAGGUUAAGACAUUAAGUUUUCAACUUGGGGACGGGAGUUCGAAUCUCCUUGGAAGUG